rnacentral:rRNA from 1 species
CGAAUGGGUUUAGACCCAUAGCAGACGAGGUAGGAACAAGUAGGUACGUACCCCAAAGUCACGGAUAAUCCGGAGAAAUCCGGGAUAAUACGUGAUGGUCCCGCAAGGGUAAAGAUUUAUCGCUUUGGGAACGGCCUGCUUUCUAUCAGCUUGUUGGUAAGGUAACGGCUUACCAAGGCUACGACGGAUAGGGGAGCUGAGAGGCUGACCCCCACCGAUGGAACUGAGACACGGUCCAU